rnacentral:rRNA from 1 species
GAUCAUGGCUCAGGACGAACGCUGGCGGCGUGCCUAACACAUGCAAGUCGAACGGAACUGUUUUGAAAGAUUUCUUCGGAAUGAAUUUGAUUUAGUUUAGUGGCGGACGGGUGAGUAACGCGUGAGUAACCUGCCUUCAAGAGGGGGAUAACAUUCUGAAAAGGAUGCUAAUACCGCAUGACAUAUCGGAAUCACAUGAUUUUGAUAUCAAAGAUUUUAUCGCUUGAAGAUGGACUCGCG